GACGAACGCUGGCGGCGCGCCUAACACAUGCAAGUCGAACGAGCGAGAGAGAGCUUGCUUUCUCAAGCGAGUGGCGAACGGGUGAGUAACGCGUGAGGAACCUGCCUCAAAGAGGGGGACAACAGUUGGAAACGACUGCUAAUACCGCAUAAGCCCACAGCUCGGCAUCGAGCAGAGGGAAAAGGAGUGAUCCGCUUUGAGAUGGCCUCGCGUCCGAUUAGCUGGUUGGUGAGGUAACGGCCCACCAAGGCGACGAUCGGUAGCCGGACUGAGAGGUUGAACGGCCACAUUGGGACUGAGACACGGCCCAGACUCCUACGGGAGGCAGCAGUGGGGAAUAUUGCACAAUGGGGGAAACCCUGAUGCAGCGACGCCGCGUGGAGGAAGAAGGUCUUCGGAUUGUAAACUCCUGUUGUUGAGGAAGAUAAUGACGGUACUCAACAAGGAAGUGACGGCUAACCACGUGCCAGCAGCCGCGGUAAAACGUAGGUCACAAGCGUUGUCCGGAAUUACUGGGUGUAAAGGGAGCGCAGGCGGGAAAGCAAGUUGGAAGUGAAAUCCAUGGGCUCAACCCAUGAACUGCUUUCAAAACUGUUUUUCUUGAGUAGUGCAGAGGUAGGCGGAAUUCCCGGUG
rnacentral:rRNA from 1 species